AAGUGGUAUCGGCAGACAGCUGGCACAGGAGAGAUGAUAGAUGGAUAUUUCCCAGCAGUAGCCCUAGAGAAUAUUUGCCACGGUGGCUUUCUCUAUUCUAGGCAGCUGUUUCAGCUAGCUUUUGCAUUGCUAACAAGUACUGAGAUUAAAAUAGAUCUUUAAAAUAGCUUUUUGCUAAGGCUUCGCGGAAACCUGUUGGCUGGAUACUCUCACAAUGACUCACUUCCACAACUCACACUUCCCACAAACAUCUGUGAAUCAUAAAAAGCUUUAAUGAAUGUGGAUAGCUGUGCAAAGAAACUACACAUCAUCUAGAUAAUGACCUGCUCUCAUUUAUCUGCUCCUCAUUUCAUGCAACAAAUGCUGCGAGGAAACCAUCAGCUUUUACAAAGCUGCAAACAUUAAAAGCAGGCUUUGGAUCAUGCUGCGGAGUGCUCCAAGGGCGUACAAACUGAUUCCUUUCCACUGGAUCAGACUAGAGAUUGUUGGAAACGUGUCAUGUGUGGACACCGACCGCUCACCACCCACUCUUUGUCUCUACAGAUCUACUGCUGUUGUACCAGCCCAAUAAUUAGACCAAUUACCUUUUAUAACACAUUUUGUUUUACUUAGUCUCUUGGAUUAUGAGGCAUGCAACGAAUUAAUAAAGUGAGUGAAUAAAACACUGUCCAUAUUCAAAGCA